CGCCACCUCGGGCUCCAACGCCACCACCUAGGGCUCCAACACCGCCACCUCGGGCUCCAUGCCACCUGCUCGAACUCCAACCCCCCCACCGGCCGCCCCAUCGCCUCCACACGUGGUUCCAGCGCCAAAAUUGGUGGACCCACCCUUAAAGAAGAGGCGGGCCACACAUCAAAUGUGUCGGCCGCCCCGCCACCAAAAAAGAAAGCCUACAAAAAGAAACAACCUAUCAUUCCUAAGAAGCUGCCCUAUGAGAUGACUAAUGCAGAACUAGAUGCUUCGGUAAAGUCAGAUGUGGACCGUUUCUUCAAGAAACUUAAGGCUGAAAGUGAAGCCAAGCGAAACCCUGAGAAGCCAUACCUCUUACUACGGCCAGAAGAUCUACAACAAAGGGUUAAGGCUCAACAAAAAAAGAGGCGUGAAGCUCAGAAAGAAUCAUCAUCUUUAUCGGACUAUGAUCGCACUCUAAGGAAAUCCAUAGAAGAAGAGAAGAAGAAAGAGAAAAGAGCAC
rnacentral:lncRNA from 1 species